rnacentral:SRP_RNA from 1 species
GCCGGGGACUUCUUGAAAUAAAAUAGCUCGAACCAGGUCAGGAUCGGAAGAUAGCAGCCUUAAGAGCGAUGUUUAUGUCUAGAAAUAAUCUCCGGCUUU